rnacentral:rRNA from 1 species
UACGUAGGGUGCGAGCGUUGUCCGGAAUUACUGGGCGUAAAGAGCUCGUAGGUGGUUUGUCGCGUUGUUCGUGAAAACCGGGGGCUUAACCCUCGGCGUGCGGGCGAUACGGGCAGACGUUGAGUACUGCAGGGGAGACUGGAAUUCCUGGUGUAGCGGUGAAAUGCGCAGAUAUCAGGAGGAACACCGGUGGCGAAGGCGGGUCUCUGGGCCGAUACUGACGCUGAGGAGCGAAAGCGUGGGGAGCGAACAGG